rnacentral:lncRNA from 1 species
CUUUUUAAGGUUCACUUGUAGAAAACAAAAGUUUUUGUUUUUUGUGUUUUAAUAACUAUGAUAUAAGGAUUACCGUUCAUUGAAAGUUGAAAUUUGAGUUUUUCAAUUUUUAGAAUGCUAUGUUUCAUUUAACUUCUCCUUAAAUAUGGUUAAAAAGACUUUAAGUGUGUUUUAAUUGAGAAGCUCCUGUUUGAACUAAGAAUCUCCUAUAAAUCAAAAGCUUAUCAGAAGCUCCUGGUGCGCAAAGCCAAAUAUGCGAAUGAAAUUAGUUUUCUAUGUUAAAUUUCAACUGUUAUUGUAAAUAAAAAGAUUUUUACUUGGCAAUUGUAUGUAUGACUUACUUGAACAAAAUGUGUUUGUGCAGAAUAGCUGAAUCUUUUCAGAAGAUGAAGAUAAAAGCAUUGUCAUAGAGACGCGUAAAUUUUCACAAGAUGGCUGGCAUCUCAAAUAACUGAAGAUGAAACAUGAUUUGAUUGACGACAGUUUCUCAACACCUAACGUCGCAAUUAGUAACGAAAUUUGUAAUGAUUCACUAGAUGAUUUGGUUCUAGUUUACCACUGAUUAACAAUAGUUAGAAUCUAAGUACAUAUAUUCAAUUCCCUGCUAAGCUUUUACCACUGUUUUUUUGCAUGCCUUCAUACUUUGAUGAGCAUGUGUUUGUUUUAGAAGCAAUUCAAAAUCCUUUAGUUGUUUGUUGUAUUUUGCUUGUCACAAUGUGU